UGGGGAAUAUUUCACAAUGGGCGCAAGCCUGAUGCAGCCAUGCCGCGUGUAUGAAGAAGGCCUUCGGGUUGUAAAGUACUUUCAGCGGGGAGGAAGGGAGUAAAGUUAAUACCUUUGCUCAUUGACGUUACCCGCAGAAGAAGCACCGGCUAACUCCGUGCCAGCAGCCGCGGUAAUACGGAGGGUGCAAGCGUUAAUCGGAAUUACUGGGCGUAAAGCGCACGCAGGCGGUUUGUUAAGUCAGAUGUGAAAUCCCCGGGCUCAACCUGGGAACUGCAUCUGAUACUGGCAAGCUUGAGUCUCGUAGAGGGGGGUAGAAUUCCAGGGGUGGCGGUGAAAUGCGUAGGGAUCUGGAGGAAUACCGGUGGCGAAUGCGGCCCCCUGGACGAAGACUGACGCUCAGGUGCGAAAGCGUGGGGGGCAAACAGG
rnacentral:rRNA from 1 species